CAAGUCGAACGGAAAAUGAGCAUAGCUUGCUAAGCUCAUUUUUAGUGGCGGACGGGUUAGUAACACGUGAGAUACAUACCCUUUAGACAGGAAUAGCCCAUGGAAACGUGGAUUAAUGCCUGAUAGUCUCUACGGAGUAAAUGAUGCCUUCGGGUGUCGCUAAAGGAUUGGCUCGCGGCCUAUCAGUUAGUUGGUGAGGUAAAGGCUCACCAAGACUACGACGGGUAGCUGGUCUGAGAGGACGAUCAGCAACACUGGAACUGAGACACGGUCCAGACACCUACGGGUGGCAGCAGUCGAGAAUCAUUCACAAUGGAGGCAACUCUGAUGGUGCAACGCCGCGUGGAGGAUGACGGUCCUAGGAUUGUAAACUCCUGUCAUUGGGGAGUAAGACUUAGUAGUUAAUAGCUUCUAAGUUUGAUAGUACCCAAAGAGGAAGGGACGGCUAACUUCGUGCCAGCAGCCGCGGUAAUACGAAGGUCCCAAGCGUUGUUCGGAAUAACUGGGCGUAAAGCGUGUGUAGGCUGCGCGGAAAGUCAAAUGUGAAAGCCAGGGGCUCAACCUCUGAACUGCAUUCGAUACUCCCGUGCUAGAGUAAUGGAGAGGUAAGUGGAAUUCUCGGUGUAGCAGUGAAAUGCGUAGAUAUCGAGAGGAACAUCAAUGGCGAAGGCAACUUACUGGACAUUUACUGACGCUCAGACACGAAGGCUAGGGGAGCGAAAGGGAUUAGAUACCCCUGUAGUCCUAGCAGUAAACGGUGCUCGCUUGGUGUGGGAGGGUUCGACCCCUUCUGUGCCGGAGCUAACGCGUUAAGCGAGCCGCCUGGGAAGUACGGUCGCAAGACUAAAACUCAAAGAAAUUGACGGGACCCGCACAAGCGGUGGAGUAUGUGGCUUAAUUCGAUGCAACGCGAAGAACCUUACCUAGGCUUGACAUGC
rnacentral:rRNA from 1 species